GAUGAACGCUGGCGGCGUGCCUAACACAUGCAAGUCGAGCGGCAGCGAGGGGUGCUUGCACCCUGUCGGCGAGCGGCGGACGGCUGAGUAACGCGUGGGAACGUGCCCCAAAGUGAGGAAUAACUGCCCGAAAGGGUAGCUAAUACCGCAUAUUAUCUUCGGAUCAAAGGAUUUAUCCGCUUUGGGAGCGGCUCGCGUCGGAUUAGGUAGUUGGUGAGGUAAUGGCUCACCAAGCCGACGAUCCGUAGCUGGUCUGAGAGGAUGACCAGCCAGACUGGAACUGAGACACGGUCCAGAAUCCUACGGGAGGAAGCAGUGAGGAAUCAUCCACAAUGGGCGAAAGCCUGAGGGAGCAACGCCGCGUGCAGGACGAAGGACUUCGGGUUGUAAACUGCUAUUAUAAGUGAGGAAUAUGACGGUAACUUAUGAAUAAGGAUCGGCUAACUACGUG
rnacentral:rRNA from 1 species